GCAACGCCGCCGCACGGGCAGCACAGCUGCCUCCGGCCAGGCUGUGCAGCUUCCAGUCCUGCCGCUCUGAGUGGCAUGGCCCAAGGUGUGGAAGCAGUGAAGGGUUGCAAGAGUUGCGUGGUUCGCUUCUAACUAAGUGGGAGACUUGAGGAGACAAUCGUCCAGGUAUUUGGAGGCCUAAGGAUCGGAGAGUGGCAUGGGAAUCCUUCAUGGAGUGAAGGACCUCAUUGGUUGUAGUGGUGAAGAGCUUGUCUCCAUCGAAAGGGAGAUCUUCGACAGUAUUCUGUAUCUUCUUCAGAAAGGAGGAAGAAGCAAGCCACGAGGACCGCCGCAUGACAAUGGCUGUGGAUCUGGCAGCUGAGUCCACAGCAUUGAGGACGGCUUGAAGAGCUGUGUGGGAGAUCAA